GGAAUAUAAGAAACCGUCUAUUAACUUUUAACUAAAAAAACUAAGAAUCGGCUCUUAAGUAAGAUAUUUAAGAAUCGGUUCUUAGUUUUUUAGUUAAAAGUUAAGAGAUGGUUUCUUAUAUUCU
rfam:Brassica oleracea var. oleracea cultivar TO1000 chromosome C7, whole genome shotgun sequence